UGAUGCAGCGACGCCGCGUGAGGGAUGAAGGCCUUCGGGUUGUAAACCUCUUUCAGCAGGGAAGAAGCGCAAGUGACGGUACCUGCAGAAGAAGCGCCGGCUAACUACGUGCCAGCAGCCGCGGUAAUACGUAGGGCGCAAGCGUUGUCCGGAAUUAUUGGGCGUAAAGAGCUCGUAGGCGGUUUGUCGCGUCUGGUGUGAAAACUCGAGGCUCAACCUCGAGCUUGCAUCGGGUACGGGCAGACUAGAGUGCGGUAGGGGAGACUGGAAUUCCUGGUGUAGCGGUGGAAUGCGCAGAUAUCAGGAGGAACACCGAUGGCGAAGGCAGGUCUCUGGGCCGCAACUGACGCUGAGGAGCGAAAGCAUGGGGAGCGAACAGGAUUAGAUACCCUGGUAGUCCAUGCCGUAAACGUUGGGCACUAGGUGUGGGGCUCAUUCCACGAGUUCCGUGCCGCAGCAAACGCAUUAAGUGCCCCGCCUGGGGAGUACGGCCGCAAGGCUAAAACUCAAAGGAAUUGACGGG
rnacentral:rRNA from 1 species